CUGCAAAAACACACACACACGCCUACCACUACUAGUUUACUACACAAUUUUCAGAUUUGUCUUUUUCAUGGUUUUCAACUUCUCCAUAGUUUUUUAAAGAUCUUAAUGGCCUUUUUUCCCUUCUCCGACAGCGACACGCCACCAUCCACGGAUGAAGCUCUGCUGGAAUCCGGUGAAAUACCAUAACAUCACCAACAACCAGCCACCCACCUUUUCUUUUUCUCCAUAGCUCCGUUGAGGAGCUUCAAGCUCCGAUGAACCGGAGUAAUCACCACUACCACCGCGUCGUCCCUAUUCCCUUCUCCCUUUGGAUUGUUAUUGCUUAUCUAAAAAUAGUGUUUUCCACCACUAAUGCACAGAUCUGGAUGGAUCUUGGUUUUUGGUACGAAAGUCGUUCCAGCAACACCAUCAUUUGCCUUGACUUUCUUUAAUUACACCAUUUAUUUAGUUUAUCUAUGUUUAUUUUCUGAUUUGGUCGCAAUUAUGUUCUCCAGUGAUGCUAUUGCUUGAUUAAUGUUUUGUACAGGGGAUAUUAUACUCAAGUUGAUUUUUCUUUGCCAUGGUUUGGCCGAGAUUUGACCAAAAAAUAUUCUCUAAAGGUUAUCUCUUUUUACUAUUUUAUUUCAAUUGUGAUGAGUUUUAUAAUUUUACUUACUGCUCUUGCUCGUAAAUGCGUCUUCGCAAUUCCCUUGGACGAUUUUGUCCUUCACUUUUAUUUACACUAAAAAUGGACAUAGACUACACUAUAAUGGUCAAUGACAAUAUCUAUCUGUAUGAUUUUCGAGGCAACUCCCUAAUAAAAAUAGGAUUUUAUUUCUCAAGUUAAGUCAUUUUAAAUCGAAUAUCAAUACGUGUCAAUGAAAAAAUUUUCGUCGAUUUUUUAGUCCUCCACAAAUGAGCAAUAACAAAAUCUUUAUAUCAUCAGGAUAAAAUGAAAGUUUUAUGAUUCGUCUCUUGACAUGGCGAUUUGGGACAGUCGAUGAAUUGAGCAACCACUUCUUCACCAUGACAUAUCUAAAACUUAAUACAAGCCUACUCUUUAACAAAAAUUCUUUAUUACACAUACACACAUAUAUGCACACAGAUUUUUUAAUUUAUUUUGAUAAUUAUUUAAUUGUUACUAACUUUUCUACCAAGUGUUUAUACAUGUUCUUGGGGAUACUUUUCAAAAUGACAUUCAAAAUAGGAGUUUGAAUUGUAUGUUUGUAUUUUUAUAUAUAUUCUUACAAUUGUCCAAAUAUUAAUCAUAGUGAAAAUUUUACUUUUGAGGCGUUGGGGGUGUUUUUCACUUACUUAAUCCUCACCACACAUUUAAGACAAAACUAAGGGUCGUUAACUUUUACAUAAAAGAAUUAAAUCGACUUAGAUAUUUAAUCAAUUAAUUCACACUUUUACAUUUAAAAAUAUUGUAUAAUAUUUUCUUUUAAAAUAAGUCUUUAUUUUAUUUAAUCUUUCUCCUCAUGAUUUUUGUCAAGUAAAUAUAUUAUUUGAGAAUAUUUUUCCUUUAUAUAAUAUAGAAAAUACCUUUCUUUCAUUACGUAAAGUUCUUUUCAUUUAGAAAAAUAUUUUUCUCUUUCAUAUGCAUUCUAAUACAAUUUAGAAAAAUAUUUUUCUCUUUCAUAUGCAUUCUAAUACAAUUUAGAAAAAUAUUUUUCUCUUUCAUAUGCAUUCUAAUACAAUUUAGAAAGAUAUUUUUCUCUUUCAUAUGCAUUCUAAUACAAUUUUUAUAUACCGCAUAUUUCUAUACACACAUUUUAUGAUAAUGUAUUUUACUUAUCUAAUAAAUAAACUUUUUAUAUUAUCCUUAAUUCAUAUUUUCUAUAUUCAUAGUUUAAAAAGAAAAUUUACCUCCUCCUUCAUUUGAUAAAUUAAGUCUAAUUGGGUACCACAUUUGUGAAUUUUGAAAGAUGUCUAACCCCUUUCGUUCAAAAUAAUUGAACCCUUAUUUAAAAUCUAAAUUGGUUUUCGUAGAUUAAAACAUAAGUCAUAGAUGUCAAUAAUUAAAUAGAUUUCCUGAUUUUUUUCUUAAAAAUUAGGUGGCGACUUUGUAUAAAAAUUAGCUUUUUUAGAGUCCAUAAGUUGAGCUUUAUUUCAACCUUGGUAAAAAUAGGACAUUACAGAAUGACGACGCUAUUGGGAACUAAAACCAGGUUCUAACCAUAAUAGACUAAAUUUGUCAAUUAAGGAAGGUACUUUUAUCUUUUUCAUAUACUAAUUAUUUAGUUCAUUGGUUCUUUAUUUGUUUCACAUACUACAAAUUAUGUGAAUUAUCUGUGUUUUGUUCGUAAAUUCUUUAGAUUUUGACACGUAGAUUUAUGGUAUUAUAUAUAUAAAUUCCUUGAUUCAUUAUUUUUUUAAUACAUUGAAUCUGUCUACAUUCUGGAAACGGCUACACAUUGUUUUCACUUUAUUUAACCAUAGCCACGAUUCUGUAGAUUCUUGGCCGUACACAAUCACACAUUGAACAUGCGAGUUGUGUAUUGCACUUCUCCAGAAUUCGAUUCAAAAGUCCGGAGUUUUAGAGUUGGGGCAUUUAGAUUACUAUGCACCUUCUUGCAUUUGUUUGAUUAUUCUUACCAAACUAGGUGAAUUUAUUCUUAGAAUCCUUAGGUCGUUUAUAUAUGAUUUUGAUCAUCACUUCGGUCAGAAAAAUUUCUAUUCUUUAUUUGUUAUACAUUGUUUCUUUUAUGUAUAUUCUUUGUUCAUCAUAUAUUACUCAUUUCUAGUAUUCGCUGCACAUUCUUUAGUUGUACAUAUUUGUUUUACAUGUCAAUUUUCUACUCCGUCUAAUAAUUUUGGUUGACUUCUGUUGAGUUUAGAAUAUUUUUAAUUUCUUACACACAUUUUAAAUCUCCAUGACCGUCCUUCGCCGUCAUAUCAUUUCACACCCAUCUUUAAUCUUACAAUUAUUUUUUUGAAUUCUACCAUAUUUUUCUCGAACUAUUAACAUAUCCCUUUUUUUCAUUCUUAAAAUAUAUUUUUUGUAUUUGGACUCUCAUUCUUAUCGAACGUUUUUCAAUAUCAUCAGUGAUCCAUAAUAAUCGUACAAAUCACUAAUAACUGUGUAUCUAUUUGAACUACGAUUUGACUUGAUUCUUGUCAUGGUAAAAUAUGUUGGAAAUCAUAUAUAAGGGCUCGAUCUCUUCAUUAUUUCAAAAUAAGUUCUCUUGUAUUUAAACUGGGGCAAUUUUUUUUAAUAAUUCAAAAACACUCUUCAAAUGUCUUUUAAGAUAGCAAAUUGGAUGUCCCUUAAAUUCAAAUCGCGAUAACAUUAGUGCUUAGUUGGCCUACCUCCAAAUCUUCACCCAAAUUUGGUUUGAUAAUAUCAUGUCUUUCUUUUGAACUUCGUAAACCAUUAAAUUUAUGACGUAUCAAUUCUAACUUUCAAAAGCAACAGUCCAACCUUUCUUAGCCAUUACAAUCCUGCCAACUGUGGCGAAGCAAUACCAAAGUUUCCAAUGUCAGGACUUCUAAAUCUUGUCAACAAUUAUAGAAGUAUUAAAGCUCUAUCUACGCAUGAAAUUCAUCCUCUCGAUCGUCUGACCAAAGAAACUCUAAUGCUUUAUGUUUAAAAAAAGUUCCAUAUCAAUGACACACUAUUUUCAAGAUUUGCCCCUACUUCAUAAAAAUUGUACAUAUCAUAUACAACUCCUUAAGUUUGCUUGAACUACAUUUUAACCUGAUCCUCAUCUUCAUUCAUUUUGAUGAGAUACAUAGGCAACCCUGCACAAUGGUUUGAUCUUGUUACUCUUCUAAAAUAAUUUUUCCAUGACUACAAACUAGAUAAAUUUUUAGGAUAGUCUAAUGACUCUCUCAAAUAAUCCUCAAAAGCGUCGAUCAAUUUUCUUAAGUCUGAAGUUUAAAAAAUAAUAAAGUCAGUAUGAUAUAAAUAUCCAUCCGGACUUAAUUUUAAAAUUUGAGACAUUAAGUUUUUUCCCUCACACUUCCACCUUUAUAUUCAAGUUGCCACCCAGUCGAUGACUUUUACUUUCCAGCUGCCCUACCAGUCAAGGGCUUUUACAUUUUAGUUGCCCCGCUAGUCGAUGGUUUUUUACGUUCAAGCUGCCCCAUAAGUCGAGGAUUUUUACUUUCCAACUGCCCCACCAGUCCUGGUGUUUUACAUUUUAGUUAUCCCACUAGUCGAGGGCCUCUUACAUUUUAGUUUCCAUGCUAGCUAAGGGCGUUUAAAUUCCAACUGCCCCGCCAGUUGAGGACAUUCACAGUUUUGUUGCUCCUUCAGUCAAAAAUUAUUUACAUUAGAUGUCAUAGGUCACGAAAUUACGUUGAGUCGCUUUUACUCUCCCAAGACUAAGGGUUCAACAUAUGUCAAUUUGUUUUCUUUAUAGGGACACUUAUCAAGGAGCAUCAUGCAAUAAAAAAUAGAGAAAUGAGUCAUAAUAUAUGUCACAUUCAUGAUUAUCAACUAUAAUUAGGCACCAUCAAAAUAAAUAUGCAUGUAGGACAGUAUUACUAUCAUAUCAAUCCCUAACUCAGGCAUUUCAAUCAUGGUAAAGAUAACCAAUGAUCAAAAAGGCCUAAAAUAACAAUCAAGCCUCCUCAUGGACAUUAUAUCUAAAAUAAAGGCAUUUAAAACAUAGAUAAGGUCAAUGAUGUCAUAUAAAUCCCCCACAUAGGCAACACACAAUAUCAUAUGGUACAAGUCAACAAAAAUAAAAUAUAAACCCCAACACGGGCACACAACAGUAAUAAUAGUCUCAAUAUAUAAACUCAAUAGUUAUUUUUCGAACCCAUAACAUGCUUUACUUUUUAUUAAUUGCCCAGCUUAAUCCGAAAGAAGUUAAGCCAUAACCAUCCUCAAAAUGAUAAAAUAUAAGUGUAAUGUACUUCAACACGGAGCUUUCCCCAUAUGAAUGGCCUCAAAGUCAACUACAACAUUAAGAUAUAUCAUUACAUGUUAAAAGAAAGCUAAUGAUACCUAUAUUGCCCAUAUUUGAGUCGAGUUUAAAAUAAGUAAGAAAAAUGAAUUCAAAAAUAAAAGAAAUAAAAUCAAAAUUUUGUUUUAGAAAUACAGUCUCAAGGUUAAAGGAAUUUGCAGUUGAAAACCCACACAAAUAUAAGUUAGAACGAGGUCGAAAUCAAAGAAAAAUCAUUUUAAAGUUUUUUUAAAAGAAAUAUUCAAAAACCUAUUUUAAAACAAAAUCAAAGAGUGUUUUGAUGAUAUAAAUCACUGAAAAGUAAUUGAAUUAAUGUUUUGGAGAUUGCCCAAGCUCAAAUAGUGAACAAACCCUAAAAAUCUCCCAAACCCAAACCUCAAAUGGUGAAAAUCGUGAAAUGGGGCUUAGAUACAGUGAUUGUCGCCUUAGUGGCUAAAUAACUGCUAAAAUUGUCAUUGCUAAAGCAAUCGGACACCACUAAAGUGGUCACCACUAAAGUGGUCACCACUAAACCAAUCCUUUGGUGCUUAAGCGACUUCCUCUUUAGCGGAAUAUUGGCGCUUAAGUUGCUUUUGCUUUAGUGACCAAUUAGCCGUUUAAGCGGCUGCACCAACAAACAUGGAAUUUGCUAAGUUUUUGAUCGGACCAUCAGAAUUCAUUCGAGACCCGACAGAAACACAGUAUAUGCUAUUGGGCUAUUUUUGAUGUUCUAGACUCAAUGGUGAUGUUAAAUUUUUGAAAAAAAAAUUCAAUAAUUAACCCCUGAUACACAUUUUUCACUAUUUUUCAAACAAAGUAUCGAAAUGCAAAAUAAAAGUUCUAAACCCUAACCAACCACUCUGAUAACCCAAAUUCGACGUUUUGGACCUAAUGGAACUGUCCAUAUCAUUAUCUGACACUCAGAAUAUCAAAUUUUUAUUGAAGUAAACUAUAUAGAUUUAAUGCCUCUAGAAAUCACAAACUCACCCAAAUCAUUUCCGAUCGCAUCGAAACCAUGCCAACCAACCCACACUACAAAAUCAACAUGUAGCAACUAUAAGGAAGGACAAACAGUCAAAACACAUAAAAAGCAAGGCUUUAUAAAUUAGGUCAUUACAACAUCCCCCCACUAAGACUCUAGUUUGUCCUUUAACUAAAAUGCAAGAAAAUAUCAAAAUCAAUAAAGAGCUGAGGGCGACUACUAUACAUGUUGGACUCGACCUCCAAAGUAGCUUCCUCAACAGGAUGGUACCUCCAUGAAUCUUAACCACAGGAAUAUCUGUAGAACACAAUCGUGUAACAUCUCAGGCUAAAAUAGACACUACACCUCUACAAAGGUCAAUUUCUUAUCCAAGUGAACUAAAUCCCAACGAAGCACAUAGGACUCAUCUAAAAUAUAGCGAUGAAGCAUAAAUACAUUAAAUCUAGAUAAACAACUGGAAAAUUUAGGUGUAAGGCCAACUCUUAAGAAACCUCCCCAACUGUUCAAAAGAAUCUAAGAGGGCCAUAUAUACCUAGGCUAAGCUUUUCCCUCUUCCAAACCCUUAUCACUCCAUUCAUGGGUGAUACAUAAAGGAAGACUCGAUCACCAAUCUCAAACUUUAAGGCAAAAGGUUUACGGUCUGCAUAACUCUUUUUGCCUACUCUGGGAUACCUGAAUCCAAUACUGGAUUAUCCAAACCUUUUCCAAAGACUCGCGAAGCAAGCCAAUUCCGCGGGGUCUAACCUCUAAAGUCUUGAACCAACUAAUAGGAGAUUGACAACACCUACUAUAUAACGCCUCUAAAUAUGUCAUCCCAGUGCUUAAAUAGUAGUUAUUAUUAUAAUCAAACUCCACUAAGGCCAAAUUCUACUACCACUGACCUCCAAAGUUCAAAACACAUGCGCGGACCAUAUUCUUAAAAGCUAAAUAGUCUAAUUUGACUGACCGUCGGUCUAGGGCUGAAUACCUAAUUCCUUCAAAAAAGUCUGACAAAAGCUUGAAAUGAAAAUUGAGCCUCUGUUAGAAAUAAUAGACAUGGGUACCCCAUGAAUAUGAACUAUCUUACGAGCAUAAUUAUGGGACAACAUCUAGGCACUCAAGGAAAUAUGCAUAGGUAUAAAAUAUGUUGAUUUGGUCAACCAAUCCAUGAUGACCAAAAUAUUGUCAGAACCAUAAAAAGUAUGAGGCAACCUACUCAUGAAAUCCAUAGUGAUCUGCUCCUACUUUCACUUAGAAAUGGGUAUUCUAUGAAGCAAACCACCUAGUCUCCGUUGCUUGGCCUUCGCCUAUUGUCAUCACAAGCAAUGAGUUACAAAGUCCACCACAUCCUUCUUCAUACCACCCCACCAGUAAAGCUACUUCAAAUCAAGAUACAUCUUGGUUACUUUUGAAUCGAUAGAAUGUCUGGAACAAUGUGCCUUCUCAAAAAUCAUCCGCACCCAUCCAUCAUAUCUCGACACACAAACUUGAAUUCCAAUCCUCAAAACACCAUUAGAAUCAACAGCUGUUUCUUAGCAUCUCUACUCAACACCUUAUCUCAAAUCACCCUCAAACUAUCAUCAUCAAACAAGUAAGUUCAAAUUUGCUCCAUCAAAAAAGAUCUAGUAUCAACAAAGUCUAAAGUACAUUCGAGUUUCAAAAUAUCAAAUCUAGACAUCUUAUUAGAUAAGGACUAAACCUCCAAAACUAAGGGCCAUUCCUGGGUCAAGAGAUGGGCUAAACUCCCCAUACUAGUUGACUUUUGGCUAAGGCAUCUACAAUCAUGUUAGCUUUGCAAGGAUGAUACAGAAUAGUGAGGUCAUAAACCUUAAGCAACUCAAGACAUAGUCGUUGCCUCAUAUUAAAAUCUUACUAGUUGAAGAAGUACUUAAUGCUGUGAUGGUUCGAGAAAAUCUCAUAAGGAACUCCGUAAAAGUAAAGACGCCAUAACUUUAACACAAACAUUAAGAUUGCCAACUCUUAAACAUGGGUAGGGUAAUUUCUCUCAAGAGGCUUUUACUGACGAGAGGCAUAAGCAAUAACCUUACCUUCCUGCAUCAAUAUUGCACCCAAAUCGAUGCAAAAAGUAUCACAAAACACGAUAAAAUCCACACCAUCCUUGGGCAAGGUUAAAAUAGUAGCCAAAGUCAACAACUCUUUAGGCUUUUGGAAAUUCUUCUCACACGUAUUCAACUACUAAAAUACCAUCUUUUUCUGAGUCAACUAGGUUAAAGAAGUUGCAACAGAUGAGAAACCCUCUACAAAACACUGUUAGUAACCUACAAAACUUAGAAUCUCGAUAAAAGAAGUAGUUCUAGCCCAAUCAUGAAUCAUCGGAUUGGUCGAAUCAACCAUAAUAACAUCCAUGAUUACUACAUGCCCCAAGAAAGAGAUAGAAUCCAACCAAAACUAACACUUGAAAUACUUAGCAUACAAUUUCUCAUCACCCAACCUCUGAAGUACAAUCCGUAAAUAUUACACAUGGUCAGCCUCACUCUUAAAAUACACCAAGAUGUCAUUUAUAAAUAAAAUCACAAAGGAGCAGAGAUACUAUUGAAAUACAUAAUUCAAAACUCCACGAACGUUCCAGAGGCAUUGGUAAAUCCAAAAGACAUGACCAAGAACUCAUAUGAUAAUAUCGAGUUUAAAAAGUUAAAUUUUAAACUUAUGAAGCUCUAAUCUUAAACUGGUGAUAUCCGGAUCUUAAAUCAAUCUUGAAAAGUACUAAAGCACCCUGAAACUGGUCAAAAAAAUCAUUAAUGUGAGAAAGAGGAUACUUAUUCUUUACUGUUAUAGUAUUCAACUAUUUAUAAACAAUACAUAUACACAUAGAACCAUCUUUUAUCUUUAUGAAUAAGAUAGGAUCACCCUAAGAAGAUACAUUGGAUCUAAUGAACCCCUUAUCCAACAAAUCAUGCAACUACUCAUUCAAUUCCUUCAACUCAGUCGAGGACAUCCUAUAAGGAGGGAUAGUAAUAGGCUUGGUGCCCGACUCCAUAUCAAUAACAAAAUCAAUAUCAUGAUACAGGAGCAUACCGGGUAAAUCCAUAGGAAACACAUCUAUGAACUCAUGCAUAACACAUAUAGAAUUCUUAAUAGGUGGUGAGGUAACUCUAGUAUCACGGACAUGAGUCAAAUUAUAUAAACAUUCUCUCUCUCUCUCUAUCAUUUGAUGAGCAUGUAAAAAUAUAUAAAACCCUUCGAACCCAAAUUAAGUGUACCCUUCUAAGCUAACCUUUGCACACCCGGCUUACCUAAGGUCAUGAUCUUGGCAUAAUAGUCCAAAUAGCAUAAUAAGGACCUAAUCAGUCCAUACCCAAAAUAACAUCAAAAUUAACCAUAUCUAGGAUAAUCAAGUCUACCCUAGUUUUACAGCCCACAAAGGUAACCACACAAUAUUAGUACACCCAAUCCACCACUAGAAAAUCUCAUACAAGGGUAGAAACAUGAAAAGGCAUACCAAGAGGCUCACAUGAAAUAUCAAAACCAGAAGAAAAAUAUGUAGAUACAUAAGAGUGUAAACACAGGGUCAAAUAACACAAAAGUAGAUUUAUAGCAAAUUAGAAUGAAAUAUGUAAUAACUAUAUCAGAAGCCUCUACCUUGAGUCUCUUAAGUAUAUCUUAACAUAGACCACAUUCGCUCGUUGAUUGAGUAACCCCUAGACCACCUUCACAAUCACCCCUACCUCUAUUUCUAGCACCGCCGUUAUAACUCUGUGAACCAACUCUCACUAUCAAAGUAGGAAAAAGCUAAUAUUGAUAACUUUACUAAGUUGGUCCAUGCACACAAAGAGGGUAAUCUUUGGCCGCAUAGACAAACUUAUUACAUAUAAAAUAUCCCUUGUGGAUUGACUCAAUUUCAGAAAGUGUGGAUAAACUAGAACGAUCACCCUAGCCUGAAGAAUGGAUCCUAGAGACUCUACCCAUAUGACCUGAUACCUGACUAACAAAAGACGUAAAACUAAAAGUCCUACCACCUAAUCCUUGCAAUGCAUACUAAACCAUUCCAACAUUAUAACUACGAUAACCUUUGUUAGAUAAACAUUUAGCUCGAGAGGUGUGUCAUUAAACUUACCUUGACAAUGCACCUUUUUGGUGCCUCCUUGAGUAGCAUAGAUAAUAAACUCAGUCAUCUUGGCAUGCUCAAUAAUACUCUGGAAAGAACCCCCAAAAACUACCAUAUGGGUUGUAGCCAACAAAUAUGUACCAUAUAGUCCCUUUAAAAUCUUCUAAAUCCUCUAAGAUUUAGCGGCUGAAGAUCUAGAUAUGGUGUGAAAAUGUGCCUUAUACUCGGUGAUAAAAAGAAGCCCUAUGCCAAAUGACCAAGCUCAACAUUCAUCUAAUCUCUCAAACAAUAUGGUAGAAAAACCUCCAGGAAGGCUUCAAAAAAUUGAGUCCAAGUCAUGCAGGUAAAUCCAAUGUCGUACAAUUGAAAAGCAACCUUCACCAAUCCCUAACCAUAUACUUCAUAGGUAGUAUAAGCAACUCCAUGGGACUCAAGGGGUCAAAGAUUAUGUAACUUCUCCUUGCAUCAAUCAAAAACUCAUAGGCAUCCUCGCCAAUAGCUCUACUAAACUUGGGCGUACCCAAGCAAAUAAACCUCUCAAAUCUCUUCUGAUCACCAGAAGACAUAACUAUACCAGAAUUAAUCGGAGAAAUUAUGAGUCUAGUAAGCAAAGAGUCCACACGUGGGGUUACCAUAGGUGAUGGAUGUACCCCAUAAAUAGGAAUACCAUAAGUAGAUAUUGGCACUGAUGGGGGACUAUCACUCAAAGUCUGAGGAUUACCAUGUACAAGAUGUCGCUCAAAUUAUACCUCGUUAUAAGAUAUAAAAUAGUCCCUAUCAAAUAUAGAAUUCGACCAAGGUUGGGGCCUAUUCCACAAGGAAUAUUAUUAGGAAUUAAGUCAAUACGGUUAAUUAGACUAUUAAUCAACUACUCUGAAAAGGGGGAAUUUAAAGGAACAAAUAAAUAAUUUGAAAAUUAAAGUCACAAGUAUAUAAAUAUUAGUUUAUGUUGAGAAAAUCAAUGAUAAUGAUGAACUAAGAAUAUGUUCUCCAUAACUUCUUAAAUACACAGGUUGUUCGUGUUAGCAAACUCUUUCAAUGUGUUGCAUGCAAAAUCUAAUAAGAUUGGUUCAUCUAAACGUCUCUCGACCUUGUUUAGAUAAAUUUCACUCUUCUCCUCUCAGUCACCUAGUGUAUCACUUUUUAACCCUUUUUCUUGAUCUUAGAUUAACUAUCCUUGUAACGGCUUAAGUUAUUAGAUAAGGGUUCAUAGCUUCAGAUCUUUGUUGUUAUUUUCUUUUCCUAACCUCUACCUCUCUCGAGUAAGCCUACAAUUCAGGUGAGUUCUAACAUCUCGCAUCCAUUAGAAAGUAAUCAUAAAAAUGAAAAUACCAAUACACGCAUGUACACUGAUCUAGAAUUACCAAAUACUUAUCUUGCUUUGUUAAUUUAUCAUGGUUUGCACAAUUCUAGUUGUGGGAUUUAGCUACUCAUGACUUGAAAAGCACAAUUAGAAUUCAUAGAUAAAAUCAUAAUUAUGAACUUAUAAAUUGAGUAGAGUAAAUCCAAAAUCUUGAAUUCUCAAAGAAUAAGUAAUAAAGAUGGAGAAGAAAAGAAUAAACCAAUUUUCUCUGGCUUCCACGAUGGCUCCAAGCUUUUCUCAAAUUAAAAGUUUACAAAAGUUACCUCUUCAAAGUUUCAAAGUUAUGAAAAAACUAUUUUUGUAGAAUAUUUCUGUGUAAGAAAAAAAUACAAAAUAAAAUAACUUAAUUCAAAAUAAACUGGAAAAACUAAAAUCAAAAUAGAUUUGGGUUGUGUCGUACCCUACCGUGGCUGCCUCUACUUUUAAUUUCUUCCACUACUUGUUGCCACAUUUUAAGAGAAGCCUCUAACUUUAAUUUCAAUUGAUUUGUUGGAACCUUCACUUUUUAUUAUUUUACUAAAUUUAUAUGUUAAGUUGUCUGCUUAAUUUUCUUAUAUAACUUCUCGAUUUUAAUUCCAUUUUUGCUUCAAAUUUCUUCAUAUUUGCAUCAAUUUAAUCAUAUAAAUAAAAAUAUAAUAUUCAACAUAAUUCAUAAAAUUAAUGCUCAAAAAGGACUACGAAAAAUAAUAAAUGGGAGGCAAACAAUGACUAAAUAUAUUUAAGUUUGUCCUAACAUCAGUACACUCAAGGGGACACCCUCCAAACGAUUGAAGAGACAAACCAAAAGACCUGAAGCACUUGGGUGUCAACUAAACUCUGUGGAAUCUGAAUUGGCGUUGUAUCUCCUAUUUAAUAAUCAUUCCUAAAAUACACAAAUCAGGCUCGGAAGAGGCCUCCCUAGCACGUCCUCUAAUUGGGGUAGCUCCUUAUUGUACUAUAUGCUUGGGUCGACCACGACCCCUGUCUCAUUCUCAAAUAGAGGUUCCCUUAUCGGGUGACAACUCAAAAUAUCUAGCCUCUCUAGACCUAGUCCUUAAUAUAUGUGUAGAAAAUAAUGGAAUACAAGUUUAAAACAUUGGGUACAAGCAACCCGCACAACAACGAAUCAAAUUAGAGAAGUUUUUCUGAAGAUAUCUUAUAGCCACUCAAAGAUUGUUAUGGACGUCUAUAUAUCGAUCCACGAGAUGCUGCUAGACAUCCUACUUUUACACGUAUGAAACUAGUGAACUUGAUUGUUCUGAUACCAAUUUGUCAUAAUCUAAAAAUAGAUCAUUAUGAUACUUAUCGUGUCCCAUCCUUGAUAAAUAAGUAAUCACCUAGACUGAUAAAGGAAAAAACAAAAUCAAUAAUAACAUAAACCAAGGUGAGACUCCUACAUUGAAGUCAAACCAAUACAAGUACAAUAAUAGCGAAAGACUGAAAGAAAUGUCAUAUAUCCCAAAAUCUGGAGACUGGUGCAAGAGCAUCUACUGCAAUAUCCAAAAGUUGAAAAUACAUAUUUUUCUCUAAAUCAUAAAUAAAGACAAGUAAGGAUAGAUAAGGUCCAAAUCAUCCCCAAACUCUGGAGAGAAUCAAUACCUCAAAAUUUGAAUCUCAGCAUAAAUUAACCAACACGUGUUGUGCUCAAAUUGGGAUCUGCAUCGAAAGGACAUAGUAGGAAUAAGUACAAUACACUUGUACUCAGAAGGUAAAAUAGGCCAACUAAACAUAGUAGAAAAUAAUUUGAGUAAAAAAACUAUGAUCAUGUCAUCUGUAAAUAGAAAGUCUCAAACGCCAGCUCAAACCAUCUCUACAACAAUCUUAAUAUAAAUACUGAAAAGAAAGCAAGUACUAAUACAUAUGAAAAGUACUCAGAACUAAACAAAAGCCAAGAGAAACUAAACAAAUUAUGAAAGAUGUGUAUACAAUGCAAUGAGUAAGGGAUGAAUGGUGAAAGUCAUCACAUAACUUUUUGUAUAUAUCUACCAAGCUCACAACUCCCAAAUAGAACCCAUUAAGAGGGGUCGCAAUCCAUAUACUAUAUCUCAUAUCUCAAAUAUUAACCCACCUUUCCAACUCAUAUUCACGAAGAGGAUUUAUUUAUACAAACGUCUUAUUUUCUUUCAAAAAUAGUGUUCCUCAAAUAGUAUUAAUAUCACAUGAAUAUGUAUGUAUGGAAUGAGGAUGUGAUGAUCACAAUCAACUCAAUAUUAAGUUAUCAAAUCCAUUCAACACGUAUAUUGAUAUGCUAUAGAAAUAUAGCACUUUCAAUGCUUAAACAAGGAAAAUAUACAAGUUUUUGAGGUUAUUUUCUUAGACAUGAUGCAUUGUGGUAUAUUUUGCAGGAAAUCAUGUUUUGGAUGCUAAGUUCAUGAAAAGGAUGAAAAAUGAGUUUUUGCCUACUUUUUGGAGCAAUUAUGGAUAUUCGAAAUACUUUAUGGCUUGUUCGUGAUCAAAGCAUGUUCGAGAAUCAAAGAAGAGCUGAAAAGAUGACUCCCGACACUUACUAAGCUAACAUGUGGACAACAAGGAGGAAAAGCAAGUUCUAGAAGUCCAAAAUUCCAAGAGUUGACUCUGGUACCUAUGCAUUGUACCUGCGCCCACCCUGCUGACACAGGUACUACCUGCGCCCAAGGUUAGGGCAUAAGUAUAGAUCACAUGUGGCCAUCAACCCUAUUUUCUCCUAUUUCAUUCAGGCUUUGGUUUUAGGAAUUCCUCAUUUACUAUAGAUACCCUUAUGUAUUUUCAGUAGGAGUUACACACAUUUGAUAGAUACAAACAUAUUUUGAUUCCAAUAUUCAAUUUUGAUUCCAAGAUUCAAUUUUGAUCUUGGGAUUCUCUUGUAUUGACUUCAUUUGAUUAAUUCAGUUACGACUGUGGGUUUUACACUUCUUAUCAUUGUGAUUUCAUCUAUUCUUUGGAUUAUUAAGGUUAUUGAUUUCUUCACAUGUAUGAGUGGCUAAAACCCAUAGCUAGGGUUGCAGAAACCCUGGCAGGUUAAAAAAGUAGGG
rnacentral:lncRNA from 1 species